UCACCUCUGGUGCGGCAGGUGCCCCCUCACCUGUGGAGCGGCAGGUGCCCCCUCACCUGUGGAGCGGCAGGUGCCCCCUCAUCUGUGGAGCGGCAGGUGCCCCCUCACCUGUGGAGCGGCAGGUGCCCCCUCACCUGUGGAGCAGGAGGUGCCCCCUCACCUGUGGAGCAGGAGGUGCCCCCUCACCUGUGGAGCAGGAGGUGCCCCCCCAGCACAGGAGAAAGUGUUCACCCACCUAUCCUGCAAGACAGCUUUUGUCACUCCAGAAAGCUCAAGGGAGACGCUUAACAGUGAUGCAAAGGACCGUCCCAGGUUCAAUCCCCAGCACCAGCACCAGCAGAGCUGAGCAAGGAGAACACAUUACCUGGCCAAGAGCCCCCACAAUUUUUCCUAAAGACUGUUUAUCCAUUCGUUUUAUUUAUUUAUUCCGGGCUACUGCUGAGAUCUGGACGAUGCUGGGCUUGGAGACUGAGUCUCAGGCGUGAAAGGCUUCCUGCAUAAUCAUUCAGCUGUGCCCCGCCUGUGAAUAUUUCACCUUUCCUUCUUCUUAUUACAAACAUUUGUGUUAUUCUCAGUGAGAAGAUUGAGAGCACCACUCUGCUUCAACAGGUGCAGUGGCAGGGGAUGGGACAUGGAACCCAUGCUUGCAAGCCCUGCACUCUGCUGCCCAGCAAACUCCUCCUCCUGUUCCAUAUUUUUGAAUUUGAAAAAAUGGCCUUUCCGUCGCUGACGCUGCCGAGAUGCGCGUCCCCUCCUACCUGCUGGCCACCCUGGGGGCCACACAUCCCCCAGC